ensembl:lncRNA
ACACACACACACACACACGCAACAAGUCUGACAAUUUGCUUCAAGUUGGAGGAUCACAAAUUGCAACCCACGUCACCAUAUUUCACUGGUUCGGUCGGAGGGGAUGCAACAGAUUGAGGUGAAAAAACAGAGGAGAUGUGUAUUUUAAUAUUUGAAUGAGUCAUUUCAAUCUCUCUGGAUGUCGAUUCAUUUACUGAAUUAAUUGAUUUCAUUUCAACAGACACUUUUUUUCCCCUUUACAGGAGGUCAGAGGUCAGCGUGGUGGAAAGUCGAUUCGUGUGACUGUGGGGUCUCGCGGCUCUGCUGAAUAUUUAGUCUCCAAGUCCUGCCGGACAGAAUGUUUGUCACACGGCCAGAGCAAAGUUCCUCGCAGCGUCUGUGUACAUUGCAGCAUGUUUUCAAUGCAGUAAGACAACAUUUUCGGCACGAAUAACUAUACGGAGCAAAUAAAGGUGUAUGUUAGAGAUGCUGAACAGUCAUCAUUACAGUGGAAGUGGAGCCACCACCGGUAUGGAUUCAGAGAGAGGCGGUGCACGCGGCGUCAGCACCCUCGUUGUGAUUCAGAUGGGAUUACUGUCACAACAGCGAUGCAUGAAUAUGAAGGAGUAUUCGCUGUGUCAGAAAGAACUCCUCCAGAGUUCAGCCUCCUACUGAAGUUCCUACACGGUGGAAAAGAGCAUUGUAGAGUGGGUAUUAGACUAAUGCGAGCUAUGAUAUCCAUACAGCCGUCCUCCAGAAUGCAUUUUAAAUUACUACUUAAACAAGUAGCUGAUUUUUAGAUAUUCACCUUUAAAAGACUGAACACACCUAAUAAUCAUUUUUAUUUUGGAGCACUAUUCUGCUCAAACUGGAUUAGGAUGAAGAAUUAUUCAGACAAAUGUCACCAUUUCCAAUAAUACAGUUUUUGACCUAUUUUUUUCCUUAACUUUCUCAUGAGACUGAUAAACAAGCAGUCGCCUCCGUUGUCUCUGAUUAUUGAGUCUAUGUUUGAGUCGUCUCUGCCGGUGUUGAGAGCAUGUGCUGCAGGAGAGGGAGGGAACCCUUUGCACAGAGGGGUGGGCCGCCCCAUUCACACUCCCACACCGGGAGGUGGGGACCGACACACUUUCAUCCCUUUCACAUCUCUGCUCCUCUACACGCCUCCCGUGAUUCUAGCCAUCGCAUUUUAUUCAAAUUGAAACAGAACGGGAGGGAGAGAGAGAGAGAGAGAGAAGGACGUUGGUGUGUUGAGAAUAAAGGGCGCUUGCUUCGCUUCCUCACAGGGGGCUCUGUCCUGCUGAAAAGCUUCCUGCUGGAGGUCUUUAUUAAGAGGAAAUCAGGAUGAGUGGGAGUGUUGCAUGAUGGAAAGCCAGCGGAACACCAAAAUUAAACCAGACCCUGUGCUCGUACAGUAUCCGUGUGAUCAAUCAGCAGCUGAUCGAUAUGAGCAAAGAUUUAUUCCAAAUAUUGGAUUGGUGAUCCAUCGAUUGCGAUGUUCCAGGAUUAACUGCCAAAGUAAGAGUGCAUAGUUUGCAUAAUCAGAUGCAAAUUAUCUAGCAUAUUAUCAUUAUCUUGCAACUACCACAAUAAUAGGCUUUAAUCACCUACUCCUAAAACCGUAAAUAUGUGGCGGUUGGCUUCCUCAAUUAUCAUUGAUUAAGAGACUGCACCCUGCUAAAAAUAUUCCAAUCAGUGCUUCCUCAACACAUACAUAAACUAUAAUGUAUUUAUAAAGGACAUUUCUAUAUUUUAAAAGGAGUAAAGUCCACUGGCUGUGUGCUCUAAAUCUGGGCACCAUUAGAGGAAAAUACAGUGAUGAAGUCAUAUGCAAUACACAGAGCUCCUUUCACCAAAAACCACUCGGAAAAAGGAACAGUUUGAUCGCCAUGCUGGUAAUACUGGUUGCCAUAGGAACGAGAAGGUGCACCAGCGAUAGAGACGGUGCGGUGUAGGCGUUGGGCCGCGGGGCAAUCAGGACGCGCACCCUGAAGAGUGCAGCGGUAAAUAAUAAGACGCAGUAAUCCACGCGGAGCCGCAUCAGCUGGUCACUUGGCAGUCUGAUGUGUGUCGCUGCAGCAGACUGCAGCAAAGCUCUCACACUACACCUGCUCUAAACGCUCCACCUGUGCUCACUCAGCGGGGCUCCCCCCCCCGCCCCCCGGCCCCUCUCCCACUAGAUUUCACCUCCCCGUCUGCACCGGGCGACCAACGGUCCGCUCCUCGUCCCUCCGUGGUUUCCGACCGCUUCCCCUUCUCUUCCUCCCUGCGGCCGCGCUCCACAUCAAAGCACGUCAGAAUAUGAGCUCUCAACUCUUCAAAGAGCAGAAAGGGCUCGGGGCUGUGAAAAGUGCCCUCAUCGGCAGACUUCCUGCAUCUGUUACUUGUUUUUUGUUUCCAUGGCCUAAUCUGACGGCGCAAAUUCCUCGCAUUAUUCUAAUGAGACGCCCUGUGUGGCGAAUGCACCGGACAUGUGGGCAGCUCCAGUCAGCUGGCAGGAGAAGCUUUUCCAUUACAUCUGCAAAGCUUGAACCUGGUGACAGAAUAAGUCUGGAGGAUUAGCAGAGGAGUUUAGAGGGUAGUUACUUCAGGACCAGACGUCUACGGGUAAAACCACUACUAAGAACGCUCCUCUAAAUGAGAAGGACUUCCUGGUGGGUCCCAGCAUUGUCUGGAGAUGUUUUCUCAACACACAGCCGUCCUCCGGGCUCCUCAAGCAUAUCAGAUGGCCACCAUCUAGAUAGUGUAGGCUAGCUACCUGAUGCCACUGCAGGAGGGCGGGCUGGAUUUAUCUGACCGUAUCACAAACCGCCAGACGCAUUCCUGUGCAGUGAGGCGCACGUUAGACUCAAGAGCAGUCAAACGCUGUAUCGAAAUCAAACCACUAAUUCUUUGAUCCAAACCCCGGCAACAUUCCCAUAGAAGAAAAACACGGCCGAGAAGGAGACACGAAAUGCAGGAAAACACAGUUGCACCUGGGUCUCAAAUGUUGAAAGAGCUGGUAAUGUGUUCAGAUCAAUAACCAUCUUAACAGUUUGAAACCAUAUAGCAACAGCUUGCGACAAAAAGUUCAAAAAUAAUAUAAAUAAAUAAAGAUAAUACUUGACUGACUGCUUACAAUGCAAAAACAAAUGGAAAAGAGAUAAUAAGGAAGUCACUCCUGGCCCUGGCCUAUCUCUCCAUUGUUGUGAGGUGAUACUAUGUGUGUUUGUGUGUGUGUGUGUGUGUGUGUGUGUGUGUGUGUGUGUGUGUAUGUACACAGCAAUAACAACAGGUCCUCGGGGUGACUUACACUGUCACAGCUGUUGCAGCUCCCACAGAGACGUCUCUGGGGAGAACAGUGGGCCACCGCUGCUCCACGCCGAUUAACCCGAGGACAUGCACACGGGGACAUACACACGGGGACAUGCACAUGGGGACAUUCACACAGGGACAUGCAUACGGGGACAUGAACACGGGGACGUGCACACGGAGCAUCAAAGAAAACACACUCGCUCUUGCGCACAUUUACACACACGCGCACAGAAGCAUGGCUGCUAUAUUAUUAUUAUUUCAUUGUUAUUAAGAUAUUAUGGUUUAGUUUGAGUGUAACAUUAAAUCACUUAAUAGCCCUUAUCUUCUACGGCAUAAAGGUCUUGAGAUUCCUUUUUGUGUGUUUUUACUCCUGAAUGGUGCGGUGGAGAAAUGUUGUAUCUAAAUAAUUAGUUUGCUUUAUCUUUUCUAAGAUGGUUUAAUUGCUUUGACGGUAAAAUCUAGCUUGUAGCGGUUUUGUUUUUAGGGUUCAAAACCAUUCAAAUUAAAUCUAUCCGACUACACCUGUUUGGUAUUCUGGCAGUAGGCCAGUAGGUUUUAGGCAAAUAUAUUCAUAAUCUACUAACAUUGCAGCAAUAAUGUUAAUAAUACUGAAGCGGUUGCAUGAGUAUUAUACUAUGGUACUAUAAUACGUAUUGUAUUAUGUAUUAUAGCUAAUACAUAAUACAUAUUGUAUUAUGUAUUAUAGCUAAUACAUGCUAAUCGUGGCCGACAGAACUGUGUUAAUAACUUGUGCUUUGUCGAGGGACAGCUGGGGAAGCGAGCCAGCCAGGGCUUGCUAUCAAUGACACAUGCUUUUAUAAUUGGGAAUUAUGUUGGGUUUGUGUUUGCUCCCUUGUCAAGAAGCUGCCAGCUCUGUAGGCGGAUCGUGAGUGCAAUCAACUACAGUAAAUACAUCUGUCAUCUUCAAUCUGUCGCGCACAGCGGUGAUUAGCGUUCCCCCUUCGUACUCGCCGCAGCAGGUGCAGUUAGAUGACAGGAUCCGACAUUUAUUCCUCCUGCUUCUGAAGACACAGAAGAAGUGGACGGCAGAGACUGAUCGGCUAAUCAGAAAUAUCUACCAUUUAUGUCAAAGGCUUCACCACGUUGGGAUUUGAUUCCACUAAGUUGAGUUGAAUUAGCAUCACGAGACACAGUCGACUGGCAGACACACAUUUGCAGCUUCUCGGACUUGAGGGUUUCCACUUGGUUGUUUUCCAGGGAGUUAAUCGGGAUUCUUUAAUGCACAUUUUGAGUUUGGUUCUGAACCUCAAUAUCAUUUGAUCAGAAAUGCGAGUGAGGUGUCAAUUGUCUUAGUUAACUCUCUGGAAAGCAAAAAAGCAGCCAUUCAAAAUGCUGAUCUAUUCCUUUAAGGACUGAUCUAUUCUAUUCUUUGAUGAGAUUUUUUAAAACGGCUGUUUUCUUACAGCUGUAUUGUGUGAAGACAAAUUGAACUCUCACCAACUUAUGCAGCUCAGCUUAUUUUGACCAAACAAAGAGGAUUUU